rnacentral:rRNA from 1 species
GACGAACGCUGGCGGCGUGCUUAACACAUGCAAGUCGAGCGGAAAGGCCUCCUUCGGGGGGUACUCGAGCGGCGAACGGGUGAGUAACACGUGAGUGAUCUGCCCUUCACUUCGGGAUACCUGCCUGAAAGGGUGGCUAAUACCGGAUGUGACUAGCCUCUGCAUGGGGUGUUGGUGGAAAGGUUCUUCUGGUGGGGGAUGUGCUCGCGGCCUAUCAGCUUGUUGGUGGGGUGAUGGCCUACCAAGGCGUGGACGGGUAGCCGGCCUGAGAGGGUGACCGGCCACACUGGGACUGAGACACGGCCCAGACUCCUACGGGAGGCAGCAGUGGGGAAUAUUGGACAAUGGGCGGAAGCCUGAUCCAGCAACGCCGCGUGAGGGAUGACGGCCUUCGGGUUGUAAACCUCUUUCAGCACAGACGAAGCUGCCGCUACGUGUGGUGGUGGUGACGGUAUGUGCAGAAGAAGCACCGGCCAACUACGUGCCAGCAGCCGCUGUAAUAC